ensembl:lncRNA
UCUCUUCUGGAGAUCCCUCCUUUUUGGAGUUUUCUGCUGUGAGCCUAGAUCCUCAGACACAGGAACAGCUGCUAAACAGAGCUGGGAAGGAGUAGUAAGGAAGUAACUGCCCAUUCCACCUUUAUCUCUCAUUGCCUCACUAAACUGUAGGACUUGAAGAACAGAUUUCUUAACACUUAUUAUCAAGACCAACAAUAUCAGUUGUUGAAACUACUUGUAUUUUAGACUUUAGAGGAAAAUAGACAGAAUAUAGAUUGUAUUUGUUAAGAUAAUUGUUUAUGGAUAGUGUGUACAAGGUAUCUGAAAUUACUCAUGAUUACAAUUCAUACACUUUGAAGUCUUAUCUGAUAAACUCUCAAAUGCUGUAAAUGUGUAUAAUCAAGAAGAGAAAGGCAAAGACACAGAGCCAAAGUUCAUUCACUGACCAUUCAUUUAGCCUCUAGCUGGGGCUGAUCAUGCUGUAACACCAAGAACCUCCUUAUGUAAAGUUGUUUGUGUUGAAUGCUGAUGAAACAUCUUUCUGAUUGAGACCUCUGUACAAAAUUAAGUGGAACAGUUCAGUGAGACCUAUCAGUCUGCAGCUCCUAUUGAGGCAUGACAGCAAAACCUGAGUUUGCACAUGGAUUGUCCUAGUGAGGUAGUUCUGGCUGUCACAGUGCAGUUGUCGGGCAGACAAGUUCUCGGUGUGAGCAAGAAGAGAUGACCCUGUCUCCUGUUGAGGAUAAUGAACAACAUGACUAAGAAUAGGUUUGGCUGAUUUGCUGUUACCCAAGACAGGAGGAUGGCGACACUGAGGAAUGGCAGCUUCAAAAUAAGCUGGGACCAUCCAGCACAUCAGCCAUGGGCUCCUUAACCUUUUGAUGGGGUGGGACCAGGCGCACACACCAAAACUGGUGUAGGAUCCACACUUGGCUAAGGGAAAAACAUUGCAAAAUGAAUACACACAAAUUCUACUAGUAGCUCUGAAACAUCAGUGUAAGACGUACUCAUUUGAAUAUAGCAGGUUUCAAAGUAUGAGCUCCCUGGAAGCCAGGUGGUAAGCACAGUUCAUUUCUGACAGACUCACACAGUCCUUCUGCCCUGAAAUGAACAAGAGGGCUGCCAGCACUACAGCUCCUGGGAGGCUUCUGCUGCUGCCAUCAGCUUCUCCAGAGGUUAAACUCUCAUCUAAGUAGAACAACUAGCUUUGCAGUCCAAGCAAAGAAAUCUGAAAUCCUUCUGAGCACGGAUCCUUGCACUGAAUCUCUGAAUCUGCCUCAGUUCAGCAGCAAAAUGCAUGAAAUGGUUUCAGUAACAACCUGUGCAGGUGUAUUUUGAAAG